CCUACGGGAGGCUGCAGUGGGGAAUAUUGCACAAUGGGGGAAACCCUGAUGCAGCGACGCCGCGUGAGUGAAGAAGUAUUUCGGUAUGUAAAGCUCUGUUAGCAGGGAAGAAAAUGACGGUACCUGACCAAGAAGCCCCGGCUAACUACGUGCCAGCAGCCGCGGUAAUACGUAGGGGGCAAGCGUUAUCCGGAUUUACUGGGUGUAAAGGGAGCGUAGACGGUAGGGCAAGUCUGGAGUGAAAGGCGGGGGCUCAAACCCCGGACUGCUCUGGAAACUGGCAGGCUGGAGUGCAGGAGAGGUAAGUGGAAUUCCUGGUGUAGCGGUGAAAUGCGUAGAUAUUAGGAAGAACACCAGUGGCGAAGGCGGCUUACUGGACUGUAACUGACGUUGAGGCUCGAAAGCGUGGGGAACAAACAGGAUUAGAUACCCCAGUAGUC
rnacentral:rRNA from 1 species